GUGGGGAAUAUUCCGCAAUGGACGAAAGUCUGACGGAGCAACGCCGCGUGAGUGAUGAAGGUUUUCGGACUGUAAAGCUCUGUUGUUUAGGACGAAAGUGCCUGUUGCAAAUAGUUACAGGUAUUGACGGUACUGAACGAGGAAGCCACGGCUAACUACGUGCCAGCAGCCGCGGUAAUACGUAGGUGGCAAGCGUUGUCCGGAAUUAUUGGGCGUAAAGAGCAUGUAGGCGGGAAUCUAAGUCUGUUGUGAAAAUGCGGGGCUCAACCCCGUAUUGCGAUGGAAACUGGGUUUCUUGAGUGCAGGAGAGGAAAGGGGAAUUCCCAGUGUAGCGGUGAAAUGCGUAGAUAUUGGGAGGAACACCAGUGGCGAAGGCGCCUUUCUGGACUGUGUCUGACGCUGAGAUGCGAAAGCCAGGGUAGCGAACGGGAUUAGAUACCCUUGUAGUCC
rnacentral:rRNA from 1 species